GACGAACGCUGGCGGCGUGCUUAACACAUGCAAGUCGAACGGUGAAAGCGGAGCUUGCUCCGCUGGAUCAGUGGCGAACGGGUGAGUAACACGUGGGCAACCUGCCCCUCACUUCGGGAUAACUCCGGGAAACCGGGGCUCAUACCGCAAAUGACCUCCUUCGGCAACCUUGGAAGUGGGAAGUUGUUCGGUGAGGGAUGGGCCCGCGGGCUAGCAGCUUGUUGGUGAGGUAGUGGCACACCAAGGCUACGACGGGUAGCCGGCCUGAGAGGGCGACCGGCCACACUGGGACUGAGACACGGCCCAGACUCCUACGGGAGGCAGCAGUGGGGAAUAUUGCGCAAUGGGCGAAAGCCUGACGCAGCAACGCCGCGUGCGGGAUGACGGCCUUCGGGUUGUAAACCGCUUUCAGCAGGGAAGAAGCCGCAAGGUGACGGUACCUGCAGAAGAAGCACCGGCUAACUACGUGCCAGCCGCCGCCGUAA
rnacentral:rRNA from 1 species